rnacentral:rRNA from 1 species
AUUGAACGCUGGCGGCAGGCUUAACACAUGCAAGUCGAGCGGGGUGAUGGUGCUUGCACUAUCACUUAGCGGCGGACGGGUGAGUAAUACUUAGGAAUCUGCCUAUUAGUGGGGGACAACAUCUCGAAAGGGAUGCUAAUACCGCAUACGUCCUACGGGAGAAAGCAGGGGAUCACUUGUGACCUUGCGCUAAUAGAUGAGCCUAAGUCGGAUUAGCUAGUUGGUGGGGUAAAGGCCUACCAAGGCGACGAUCUGUAGCGGGUCUAAGAGGAUGAUCCGCCACACUGGGACUGAGACACGGCCCAGACUCCUACGGGAGGCAGCAGUGGGGAAUAUUGGACAAUGGGGGGAACCCUGAUCCAGCCAUGCCGCGUGUGUGAAGAAGGCCUUAUGGUUGUAAAGCACUUUAAGCGAGGAGGAGGCUCUUUUGGUUAAUACCCAAGAUGAGUGGACGUUACUCGCAGAAUAAGCACCGGCUAACUCUGUGCCAGCCGCCGCAGUAA